rnacentral:lncRNA from 1 species
AUUUUCCAUGCAAGAAAGGCCAGAUAUUGUUGACUAGGGACACGAAAAGAAAAGGACGUGCUACACCUACAGUGUCACACAGCAACCAACCCUGUUCCCAUUCCCCAUCUGAAUCUUUCCAGGAAAUUGCCAGCCACCGGUUCCUUCGCUUGGUUCACAUAAGGAAGCAAGAUUUUAUGCGUAACUGCGAGGAAUAGACAACAUGUUCCCUCUAUUGGCUUUGCUGCAUAGAAGAUGAAAUCAGAAGUCAUGCUUCAGUCAAUAAAAUCGAAGUGAAAAAUCAAACAAGUCAAGUUACAGAAAGUUAUGUGUUGAGUAGAUAAUUUUUUGAUAAAAACAAGUGUUACCUAGACACCGUGGUCGAAUUGAGCAUCACAUAUGCAGAAGCCACCGUUCUAGUGAUGAUUGUUUUUAAAACUGCAAGGCAGGGCCACGUGCUUCGACUCAGCAGGUCAGUGGAGUAAAAAAAAUAAGAAUUCUGAAAAGUAUAGCCUCAGCUUCAGCUGGUAGGAAGAGCAACGACUUUGGAGUCAAUGCCAAAGCAAUAACAGAGCAUGUCCCCCAACCCACCCACCCCCCCACAAACACAAUCCUCCUCACCUAUCGUUCCAGACAUCCAGAUUGCAUCUCUAGGAGACUGCAAACAACAAAAAACCAUGCCAAUCGGAGAAGCUGUUCUGUCUGCCUUCAUGCAGGCACUCUUCGAAAAAGUGAUUGCUACUGCUUUUGGUGAGCUGAAAUUACCUCAAGAUGUGGCUGAGGAGCUGGAGAAACUAUCCAGCAGUCUGUCGACCAUUCAAGCUCACGUUGAAGAUGCUGAGGAGCGGCAGCUGAAGGAUAAGGCGGCACGAAGCUGGCUUGCCAAGCUCAAGGAUGUUGCAUAUGAAAUGGAUGACUUGCUCGAUGAUUAUGGAGCUGAGGCCCUUAGAUCCAAACUAGAAGGCCCGUCCAGCGACAACCAUUUGAGCAAGGUUAGAAGCUGUUUCUGCUGCUUUUGGUUCAACACCUGUUUAUUCAACCACAAGAUUCUGCAAGACAUAAAGAAGGUGGAGGAGAAGCUCAAUAGGCUUGUCAAGGAAAGAGAGAUUAUUGGUCCAAACAUGAUUAGUGCAACAGACAGGAAAGAGAUAAAAGAGAGGCCUGAGACGAGUUCAAUAAUCGAUGACUCAAGUGUGUUUGGAAGAGAAGAAGAUAAGGAGACCAUUGUGAAGAUGUUGCUUAAUCAGAAUAACUCCAACCAUUCCAACCUUUCUAUUCUUCCCAUAGUGGGUAUGGGCGGACUAGGGAAGACGACUCUAACACAGCUUGUCUACAAUGAUACAAGAAUAAAGGAGCAUUUCCAGUUAAGGGUCUGGCUGUGUGUUUCUGAAAAUUUUGAUCAGAUGAAGCUUACCAAGGAAACCAUUGAAUCAGUUGCCAGUGAGUUUGGAUCAACCAUCAUUGGGGUCUCAUCGGUCACGACCAACAUGAACUUGCUCCAAGAAGACCUCUCAAAAAAGCUAAAAGAUAAAAGGUUUCUUCUAGUACUUGAUGACGUAUGGAAUGAGGACCCUGAAAAGUGGGGUACAUAUCGCAGUGCUCUACUUACUGGAGGAAAGGGAAGCAGAAUAGUAGUAACCACAAGGAACAAAAACGUAGGGAAACUAAUGGGUGGGAUGACUCCAUACUAUCUAAAUCAGUUAUCCGACGAUGAUUGCUGGUCUUUGUUCAGGAGCUAUGCAUUUGUGGAUGGUAACUCCAAUGCACACCCAAAUUUGGAAAUGAUAGGCAUGGAAAUUGUGAAGAAGUUGAAAGGCUUACCACUGGCUGCAAAAGCAAUAGGCAGCUUACUGUGUUCCCAGGAUACUGAGGAUGACUGGAAAAAUGUACUAAGGAGUGAAAUAUGGGAACUGCCAUCGGAUAAGAACAACAUAUUACCAGCUCUGAGAUUGAGUUACAAUCAUUUGCCUGCCAUACUGAAGAGAUGUUUCGCAUUUUGCUCAGUCUUUCACAAAGACUAUGUGUUUGAGAAAGACAGGUUGGUCCAGAUAUGGAUGGCCCUUGGGUUUAUUCAGCCUCAGCGGAGGAGAAGAAUGGAAGAGAUUGGAAGUAGCUAUUUUGAUGAAUUACUAAGCAGGUCCUUCUUCCAACAUCACAAAGGUGGAUAUGUGAUGCAUGAUGCUAUGCAUGACCUAGCACAGUCGGUCUCAAGUCAUGAGUGUCUCAGACUGGAUGACCUUCCAAACAACAGCACCUCUGCAAGAAGUGCCAGGCACCUCUCAUUCUCUUGCAAUAAUAGAAGCCAGACUUCAUUUGAAGCUUUUCUUGGAUUUAAGAGAGCACGGACACUUCUACUGCUAAGUGGAUAUAAAUCAAUGACAAGGUCUAUCCCCAGUGAUCUGUUCCUCAAGUUAAGGUACCUCCAUGUGCUCGAUUUGAACCGGCGAGACAUUACUGAGUUGCCAGAUUCUAUUGGAAGCUUAAAAAUGCUUCGAUAUUUGAAUCUCUCGGGCACUGGUAUAGCAAUGUUGCCUUCGUCAAUUGGUAGACUCUUCAGCUUGCAAAUACUUAAGUUGAAAAACUGCCAUCAAUUAGAUUAUCUCCCACAAAGCAUAACAAAUCUUGUAAAUCUUCAAUGGCUAGAAGCAAGAACAGAGUUGGUCACGGGCAUAGCCAGAAUAGGUAACUUAACCUGUCUUCACCAGUUGGAUGAAUUUGUGGUCCGUACAGACAAAGGAUACAAGAUCAGUGAAUUGAAGGCAAUGAAGGAAAUUAGAGGGCAUAUUUGUAUUAAGAAUAUUGAGUGUGUGGCUAGCAUAGAGGAAGCAAUUGGAGCUUUUCUAAGCGAGAAGGCAUUCAUCAGCAUCCUAGACCUUAUCUGGUCCGAUAACAGGAACAUAACAUCAGAAGAAGCAAAUCAAGACAAAGAGAUACUUGAGGCCCUCCGGCCACAUCAUGAACUGAACGAGCUAACUGUCAAGGCAUUUGCAGGCUCCUCCUUCCCGAAUUGGUUUGGUAGUCUUUCCCACUUGCAAACCCUCCACCUGUCUGAUUGCACAAAAUGUUCAACUCUACCAGCACUGGGAGAGCUGCCUCAACUCAAGUAUUUAGAUAUUGGUGGUUUUCCGGCCAUUAUUCAAAUCAGCCAAGAUUUUUCAGGUACCAAUGGAGUUAAGGGGUUUCCAGCACUGAAAGAGCUCGUAUUUGAAGACAUGAGUAAUUUCAAAAGGUGGGCUUCUGUACAAGAUGGUGAAUUUCUUCCAUGCCUCACAGAACUUGCAGUGGUGGACUGCCCAAAAAUAACAGAGUUCCCACCACUUCCAUCAAUGCUAGUGAAGCUCAAAAUUUCUGAAACGGGGUUCACUAUUCUUCCAGAAGUCCAUAUUCCAAACUCCCAGUUUCCAUCGUCGUUAGAAUGCUUACAGAUUCAUCAGUGCCCAAAUCUCACAUCCUUAAAGGAAGGACUGCUUAGCCAGCAAUUAUUGGCUCUCCAGCAGCUAACCAUCACUCACUGUUUAGAUCUAAUUGACCUGCCAGUUGAAGGAUUCAGAUUCCUGUCUGCUCUUAAGAGUCUUCACAUCUAUGACUGUCCAAGGCUGGCACCAUCCGGACAGCAUAGCUUGCUGCCCUCUAAACUUGAAGACUUGCGCAUCAGCUCAUGCUCCAACCUUAUUAACCCUCUUCUUCAAGAGCUUAAUGAGCUCUCCUCGCUGACACAUCUCACCACCGCUGAUUGUGCUAGCCUUCAGUCUUUUCCAGUAAAGCUCCCUGCCACUCUGCAAAAGCUGGAGAUCCUCAAUUGCAGUAAUCUGAUCUGCUUGCCUGCUGGUCUAGAAGAUGCAUCGUGUCUAACAGCUAUAACCAUCUUGAGAUGUCCUCUCAUACCAUGCUUGCCAGGGCGGCUUACAGAGUCAUUGAAAGAACUGUACAUCAAAGAAUGCCCCUUUCUAUCGGAGAGUUGCCAAGAAAACAGUGGAAGAGAUUGGUGUAAAAUUGCUCAUGUACCAAUCAUUGAGAUCGAUGAUGAUACCAACAUACCCAACAACAGCAUACGAAGAAGAUUAUCAUGAAUGCCUCACAGCAAUGCUACACAAAUGGUAUGAACUAGAUAUAUUUUUCUGCUUGUAUUGCAUAAGCAUGUAUUCUCUGCUAACAGUAAACUGCAUAAUAGAACCAAUCCUCUAUAGGUGAUUUUGCAUUCAUUUUUGCACAUAUUUUGCAUGUUAGCACAUAAACAUACUUCGAUUCAAAUGUCUUGCAACACCAAAUCGCAAGCAAUAACUAUACACUAGGAAAUUACUGUAAACAUCAGCUGCAACACUGUAUAGUCAAGCCUUGCAUUCAAAGAAACAUGAACAGAUUUUAAUAGAAAAGUAAAACUAAUGGGAUUGCCAAUUAGAGACUGAGUAAUAACAAUGCAACAAAAAAUAAACCAUCAAAAGAUUCAUUAUCUACCUCCUGUAUCCUAGAAACAUCUAGGUAUUUCAUGUAUUCAGAAAGUUCCAUGUACACAAGUGCGCCAUAGAUCAUCCACCAUGGUCAAGUCACAUAGCUGUCCAUUCAGAAAACAAAAGCCAAACCUUCAGCUGUGAUACGAGAAAGUUUGUUCAUGCGCAGUGCAAGCAUGCAUAGUAGCAAGCUUAUCUGGUCAACAUUUACAAAAUAUGGUUGCAUUAGCUUCUAACUAGCAAACUCCAGAUUAAUAAUUCUAUACUGCCAGUGACAAUUUUCACAAAAUAGACAUAUCACAUAAUAAUGUCCUUACUCUUGGUUAGCAUAUGCCUGUCUAAUGUCUACAGAAUGCAGUUCAAAGCAAAACCUAAAAGAAGAUCAUGUACUCACUUGUACACUUUCUUUUAUCUACUUUCAGAUUAUCGUAUGGAUUCUGGAAAUAUUUUUUGACGACGGUGAUAUUUCAAGAGCACCUUACACUUUACAUCCACCUCCAUCAGAAGACUAAUCUAGCGCAUGUGCAAAACUCAAACAAAUCGAAAACUCAAUGAGUAAUUUUGAGGAAAACAGAGCUAGUACUUUCGGCAGAGGAAGUGGCCAAGACAUUACUGUAUUUAUUAUAUAUGCCUUAUCAUUUUCAGAAAAAUAAGAUAAGUGUGGCCCUUUGUGUUUGUGUAAUUUUGUAAUCUCUCUUCUCGAAUACAUUUCACUCUAUGAUUUUGAGACACCAUAUUUUUUUCCCCUUUCUCUAUAUGACCUCUCAUUCAAUAGCAAAGUCCAUUUUUUCAAGAUCAUACACUACAAUGGGAUACAGUAACAAAUGGAGUGUCAUCAAGAGUAUACAUGCCUAGUUUGUUGUGCGAAAUCCUAAAUGAAACCUAUUCAGUAAAGAAGGGAGUCUAAAAACGGUGAGAACCUGACCUUCAUUUCUGUCAGUAAGCAACAUCAUAUCGAAGUCUGGUGCAUCAACCCGGCAUAGCCAACAGAUUGCAUCUUCCUUCUCCA